AGAGUUUGAUCAUGGCUCAGAUUGAACGCUGGCGGCAGGCCUAACACAUGCAAGUCGAGCGGCAGCGGGAAAGUAGCUUGCUACUUUUGCCGGCGAGCGGCGGACGGGUGAGUAAUGCCUGGGGAUCUGCCCAGUCGAGGGGGAUAACUACUGGAAACGGUAGCUAAUACCGCAUACGCCCUACGGGGGAAAGCAGGGGACCUUCGGGCCUUGCGCGAUUGGAUGAACCCAGGUGGGAUUAGCUAGUUGGUGAGGUAAUGGCUCACCAAGGCGACGAUCCCUAGCUGGUCUGAGAGGAUGAUCAGCCACACUGGAACUGAGACACGGUCCAGACUCCUACGGGAGGCAGCAGUGGGGAAUAUUGCACAAUGGGGGAAACCCUGAUGCAGCCAUGCCGCGUGUGUGAAGAAGGCCUUCGGGUUGUAAAGCACUUUCAGCGAGGAGGAAAGGUUGGUAGCUAAUAACUCCCAGCUGUGACGUUA
rnacentral:rRNA from 1 species